UGUUAUAUUCAUGUGUCUGUGGCUUUCACUAGGUGACUCCAUGGCAGAUUCAAUUAAACCACUUUUCACUCAUAAAGCUGUAGAUGAAGGUGAUGAUGUUACUCUGUCCUGCAACUAUGAAACAAGUGAUACAGGCCCCGUCCUGCACUGGUACAGACAACAACCAAAAUCUAAACCUGUGUUCCUUCUUUACAUUGAUCUGUUUGGAGGAAAAACUAAGCCCAUGCCACCACGUCUGGAUGCUGAAGUUGAUAAAACUAAUAAAGAAGUGGAUCUGAUCAUCUCCUCUGCUGCUGUAUCAGACUCUGAUCUAUACUAUGGUAGUUCCUCACUGCUCCGAUGGGGCUGCUUGGCGGCAGCCUCGCCCUGGUACGUCCAGGCACAGCGAGAUAGCCCAGUGAGAGAGUGUUGCCACCCGACUCCGCGGGGAGGUCCUAGGGGCCCCUGGAGACUCUCUAGGCACGAGGAGGGGCUGGACGGCCUGAGGGUGAACGGGCUGUGUUCGUUGCAGAUGAGAGUCGUCCGCCGCCUCUCAGGGGCUUCAAAGGCCGCAGUGACUCCAUGGCAGAUUCCAUAG